AUAUGAGGUUUUUUUCUCGUCAGGAUGAACGCUGGCGGCGUGCCUAAUACAUGCAAGUCGAGCGAACAGACAAGGAGCUUGCUCCUUUGACGUUAGCGGCGGACGGGUGAGUAACACGUGGGUAACCUACCUAUAAGACUGGGAUAACUUCGGGAAACCGGAGCUAAUACCGGAUAAUAUUUCGAACCGCAUGGUUCGAUAGUGAAAGAUGGUUUUGCUAUCACUUAUAGAUGGACCCGCGCCGUAUUAGCUAGUUGGUAAGGUAACGGCUUACCAAGGCGACGAUACGUAGCCGACCUGAGAGGGUGAUCGGCCACACUGGAACUGAGACACGGUCCAGACUCCUACGGGAGGCAGCAGUAGGGAAUCUUCCGCAAUGGGCGAAAGCCUGACGGAGCAACGCCGCGUGAGUGAUGAAGGUCUUCGGAUCGUAAAACUCUGUUAUUAGGGAAGAACAUACGUGUAAGUAACUAUGCACGUCUUGACGGUACCUAAUCAGAAAGCCACGGCUAACUACGUGCCAGCAGCCGCGGUAAUACGUAGGUGGCAAGCGUUAUCCGGAAUUAUUGGGCGUAAAGCGCGCGUAGGCGGUUUUUUAAGUCUGAUGUGAAAGCCCACGGCUCAACCGUGGAGGGUCAUUGGAAACUGGAAAACUUGAGUGCAGAAGAGGAAAGUGGAAUUCCAUGUGUAGCGGUGAAAUGCGCAGAGAUAUGGAGGAACACCAGUGGCGAAGGCGACUUUCUGGUCUGUAACUGACGCUGAUGUGCGAAAGCGUGGGGAUCAAACAGGAUUAGAUACCCUGGUAGUCCACGCCGUAAACGAUGAGUGCUAAGUGUUAGGGGGUUUCCGCCCCUUAGUGCUGCAGCUAACGCAUAAGCACUCCGCAUGGGAUAGCCCAAUUGG
rnacentral:rRNA from 1 species